ensembl:lncRNA
AAUGGGGUGUAAAUGGCAGUGUCAAUUGUGUUGGGAACCUACCUUAAGGAUCAGAUGAUAGGCAUCCUUUUCCUCAUUUUUGGGGGGGUGGGUUGUUUGUUUGUUUUUGUCCCUUCCUCUAUCUUGCUGCCUAGAACACAGAUGCGAAGGCUGGAGUUCAACCCAUUAUACUGGAUCACAAGGACGAAAGUCCCUAGGGACUGCAGAAAGGAGGACUACAAAGAACUUGGUCCCCUAGGACCUCAUGAGGCAGAAUUGCUGCUCUGCCUUCCAGCAGUCAUUUGUGAGAGAGAGAAAUCAACUCACAGGGGAUCUUCCCAACCCAGGGGUCGAACCCACAUGUCUUAUGUCACCUGCAUUGGCAGGAAAGUUCUUUUACCACUGGUGCCACCUGAAAAGUCCCAGUGCAGGUGAGGUUCAAGAAUGAGUGAGUUUUGCUUUGUUCUUUUUUUGUUUUCUCAGUGCUAUAGGUUAUUCUGACACACAGGUAGCUUUGGGAAUCUAGACUCAUUAAACAAGAUUUCUUAUUUUAAGAUAAACAAAAUUUUUUGCCAGUGUGAUGUGUUUUUCAACUUGAUGUUGAAUUGCUCAUAAACUUGUAUGUUAUAUUUCACACAUAUUUGUUGUAGUUCACAUAAACAAAGAACCUGAACAUAAUUUAAAUCUAGACCACAAGGAUAAAGGUCCUUAAAGAUAGUAGAAAGGAUUAUAUCAACAUUUAGUAGAUAACAGUCUCACAGGCCUACUUGAGCCACAAAUUGCUGCUGCUGCUGCUAAGUUGAUUCAGUCGUGUCUGACUCUGUGCGACCCCAUAGACGGCAGCCCACCAGGCUCCACCGUCCCUGGGAUUCUCCAGGCAAGAACACUGGAGUGGGUUGCCAUUUCCUUCUCCAAUGCAUGAAAGUAAAAAGUGAAAGUGAAGUCACACAGUCGUGUCUGACUCUUAGCGACCCCAUGGACUGCAGCCUACCACGCUCCUCCGUCCAUGGGAUUUUCCAGGCAAGAGUACUGGAGUGGGGUACCAUUGCCUUCUCCGAGCCACAAAUUGACUCCUACCUAAAUAGAGAUAAAAAACACUAACAAAGCAUGUGUUAUCAGAGGAAAGAUGGAAAGAAGAGUAAUUCAAGAAGUAAUAUCAGCUAGAGAAAGAACAAGCAAAACCUAUUAUUUCUUUUCUUUGCAG